CUAGGGUUUUUCUUGUGCUCAG
rnacentral:siRNA from 1 species